UGGGGAAUUUUCCGCAAUGGGCGCAAGCCUGACGGAGCAAUACCGCGUGAGGGAGGAAGGCUCUUGGGUCGUAAACCUCUUUUCUUAGGGAAGAUAAUGACGGUACCUAAGGAAUCAGCAUCGGCUAACUCCGUGCCAGCAGCCGCGGUAAUACGGAGGAUGCAAGCGUUAUCCGGAAUGAUUGGGCGUAAAGCGUCCGUAGGUGGUUUUGUAAGUCCGUGGUUAAAGCGUGGAGCUUAACUCCAUAAAGGCCAUGGAAACUACAAGACUAGAGUGAAGUAGGGGUAGAGGGAAUUCCCAGUGUAGCGGUGAAAUGCGUAGAGAUUGGGAAGAACACCGGUGGCGAAAGCCCCCUACUGGACUUAUACUGACACUGAGGGACGAAAGCUAGGGGAGCGAAAGGGAUUAGAUACCCCUGUAGUC
rnacentral:rRNA from 1 species